GCCGGGUGUGGUGGCUUGUGCCUGUAAUCCCAGCUACUUGGGAGGCUGAGGCAGAAGAAUCGCUUGAACCCAGGAGGCGGAGGUUGUGGUGAGCUGAGAUCAUGCCAGUGCACUCCAGCCUGUGCAACGAGAGCGAAACUCCAAACUCCGUCUCAAAAAAUNNNNNNNNNNGUUUGGAGUUUCGCUCUCGUUGCACAGGCUGGAGUGCACUGGCAUGAUCUCAGCUCACCACAACCUCCGCCUCCUGGGUUCAAGCGAUUCUUCUGCCUCAG
rfam:Chlorocebus sabaeus isolate 1994-021 chromosome X, whole genome shotgun sequence.